rnacentral:rRNA from 1 species
GACAGAGGGUGCAAACGUUGUUCGGAAUUACUGGGCGUAAAGCGCGUGUAGGCGGCAGGGCAUGUCGGAUGUGAAAUCCCGUGGCUCAACCACGGAAGUGCACCCGAAACUGCCCAGCUUGAGUCUCGGAGAGGAAGGCGGAAUGCUUGGUGUAGAGGUGAAAUUCGUAGAUAUCAAGCGGAACACCGGUGGCGCAAGGCGGCCGUUCUGGACGAGUGCUGACGCUGGAGACGCGAAAGCGUGGGGAGCAAACAGG